rnacentral:rRNA from 1 species
UACGUAGGGUGCAAGCGUUGUCCGGAAUUAUUGGGCGUAAAGAGCUCGUAGGCGGCUUGUCGCGUCGGAUGUGAAAGCCCGGGGCUUAACUCCGGGUCUGCAUUCGAUACGGGCAGGCUAGAGUUCGGUAGGGGAGAUCGGAAUUCCUGGUGUAGCGGUGAAAUGACGCAGAUAUCAGGAGGAACACCGGUGGCGAAGGCGGAUCUCUGGGCCGAUACUGACGCUGAGGAGCGAAAGCGUGGGGAGCGAACAGG